GAUUAUAUGCUAUUGUUACAUUCAAGGGCUCCAUCAUUCUCUAUUGCUGCUCUGUGAUCCUUCUGUUGAGCGGUACAUCGAACUCCGGAGGUGCCGGACCGAACGAUUCUUCACCACCCAGAAGGAAUUCCAAGAUACCCAUAUUUAUGUCAAGAGCAGAAGUGAUGAGCAGCUGCAGAAGCCCAGGAAACAGAAUUCCACUAGCACCUGUGAACCCAAAGACACCACAGCAGGUGGAUCUCUGAUUAUUCCUUGUGGUUUCAUAGCUUGGAGUUUGUUCCAUGACACAUACAGUUUGACUUGUGGCAGCCAGGCAUUGCUCUGAACAAAAAGGAUAUUUCCUGGGUAUGUGACAGGGACUGAAGGUUUGAUGAUGGUGUCUUUGCUAAGAACUUCCAAAAUGGGACUCUGGUCGGUAUGGAAAACUAAACCCAACUUCCAUUCUGUGUUUACAAUGAAAGAGACAAAAAUGACUCUGUCAAGACUCAAAGGGAACUCAAAAUUAGUUAAAAUAAAAGAAAGAAAGAAAGAAAGGAAAAAAAAAAAAAGACGGUCAAGAAAAAAAUCGACUUGACAAUUCUUUAAAAAACUCGAUGAAAUUUGAUUAAAUUCACCAAGAUUCAACAAUAUUAACAUAUUUAAAUAAAAAAUAUUAUUGAAAAACUUGAGAAAAAAAUUGUUCCCUAUGGUAUUGACCACCUAAGCUAUUUUUUGCCUGAGUUUUGGUAGGGCAGAUUAACUGAUUCACAGUUUAGAUUGAACACACAACACUUGGGCAUAAAAGCUCAAAUGUAUUGGAAUUACCAUACAUUCAAACAUAUGUGAACAAUACCUAGAGACAAUUACGUGGAAUGGCAAAAAUGGAAUUGAGAUUGAA